UACAGAGGGGGCAAGCGUUGUUCGGAAUUACUGGGCGUAAAGCGCGUGUAGGCGGCAGGGUAUGUCGGAUGUGAAAUCCCGUGGCUCAACCACGGAAGUGCACCCGAAACUACCCAGCUUGAGUCUCGGAGAGGAAGGCGGAAUGCUUGGUGUAGAGGUGAAAUUCGUAGAUAUCAAGCGGAACACCGGUGGCGAAGGCGGCCUUCUGGACGAUGACUGACGCUGAGACGCGAAAGCGUGGGGAGCAAACAGG
rnacentral:rRNA from 1 species